ACUUGACCUGAUAUCAGAUGGGACUACCCCCUGAACUUAAGCAUAUCAAUAAGCGGAGGA
rnacentral:rRNA from 1 species